rnacentral:tRNA from 1 species
GGAGAGGUCGCGUAGUUGGUUGAGCGCGCGCGCCUGGAGAGCGCGUGACCCGAAAGGGUCCGAGGGUUCGAAUCCCUCCCUCUCCGCCA